AGGUCUGUGUGGGUAGCAGCUCUCUCAUGCUAUAAAUACGGAGGAAUGACUGAAUUUAGGGCUUCAUAAAAUCUCAUUAGUUUAAGUAUGAGGCUCUCUCUCUCUCGCUCACAGAGAUCUGGGAAUUUCUCAGGGUGGUUGCCCCUCUCUGUUGACGACGGCGGCGGUUGAUCAAUCGUCGGAGAGCCGAUGAUUUAACCAAUCUGUCCCUCUCUUUACCAACAGCCCUGGGGAAGUUGUAUUCACACACCCCUUUUUCCUCAGUACACCCACACCGAACAACGGAGCAUUGAAGUGGCUGUAAAAUGCCAUUCUCUCUGUAUCGGAUGAGGAUCCUGUACUUGGGAUGAAUGGUAUUAAUCAAACCAUCCAAAGUCAGAUAAUUCUUCAAGGACCGUCACUCUUCUUCCAAAAAACACUUGAACAAGAACAUCCAGUAUAUGAGCAGGUUUUGAAGAAAGGCUAGAAACGAUGAGCAGAACAUGCAAUGGUUUAGGUCUGAACUGGUCAAAACUUCAGAGAAAUGGUACUACCCUAGCAAAUAUGUUUUACUGCUACGGAAAUGGUACUACCCUAGCAAAUAUGUUUUGGUACGAAUGUUCCGAGAAAUGGUGCACUUUCAUUCCAAAAUGUGGCAGGCGUGGGAGCAGAGCCGUUGGAUGCAGCUGGUAGUGGUGGAUCAACGACAUCUGCAACUUCGAGGACUGGGGCAGGGGCUUCUGCAGGCGGCAAAAUGGAUGGUGGAACCAAGUGAAGUAGGUUGCCUGGUCUAAUUGGUAAGAUGUAUGACAAAUUCGUGUCCGGGUUGGAACAAGGGCUUCCUGCAAGAACCAAAGAUGACAGUCAUGUUAUGUUCUCGAGCAUCUGUACCAUUUUAUCAAAAGCUUUUGAACUCAACCUGUGAAAUGUUUGUUAAGUAUAUCUCAGAUGUGGCUUCUGUGAUGAAUGUAGAAUUCUCACAAUAACUUCUACAUGCAUAUCGAUGUCUAUAUAGGCUAAUGCCUUCUCGUAACCAUUUAAUGUCUAUGUGAUUCCGUCAAUAAGAGGCUUAAGCUGUUUGAUUACUACUACCACAUAUGGUACAUGAACUCGGGCACUGGCAUCAAAUGUGACAUGUACAUUUGUAGGGAUCAGAUUAAUCUCUUUCCUGUUUCUAAGAACGACGAGCAACAACAAAUUUUUUUACGUCAGAGUAUCUUUCUUGAAUGCAAUAAGGUUCUAAUGAAAAUGUUUGUAUCUCUGUCAUACAGGUAAGUAGCGUCUAUAAGGUGUCGUAGAACAUUUCGUGCAAGAAGUAUAUGGUAGGCUUCAACUCAUGGACAUACUUGGUUGGAUACUACUUAUUAGCUUGACUCUCACAUGUCAUACUCUUACCCAAGUAAGUACCUCCGACAGAGGUAUAUGAACACUUGUGUUUUUGGUAACCGGAAGUCCGGCCAGCUUGUGCGCACCUUGACUUAGAAGAAUACAUGCAACAUCACAAAGUAUGGUAGCUUAGGAGUACCAAAUAACUAGCUGUUUAAUUUACAUGCCUGCAUCUAUAUUGUCAUUCAGAUGUAUUGUUUGGUAAGGAGUAUCAUAUCGGUCUUCUCAAUAACGACCCAUUCGUCUAAACGAUGAUGGAAGAACAACUCACAAUAAUAACCCCGGAUUGAAUGCAUACCCUGUGCAAACUCCACAUAAUUUCUUUGCAUUUAGACACUUGAAAAUUUCACAGAAACGCAAGAGUACAAGGUCCGUAAACUUACUCAAGUAUGCAUUUGCUGUAGCAGGAAACUCCGUCAUCACCCCAUCGACUCCGAGACCAUCGUGAGCCAAAUAAGUCGCAAUCUCCAACAUCGGAUCCGAAAAGAAAUCAAACGCCAGGCUGACGAAUUCGUUUCUAAAAGGGAAGGCAUAAACUGAUAUAUUCGCAGCGUGCAUAUCGUCAACGACAGUGGUGAAAGACGUGGUGAAGGAAUUAGAUCCCUUAAUCAUUGAGGCUCUUCUGAUUGAAACUGCAUCUGCGUACUUUUUGAUUUCGCCCACUGUCAUAUUUGGUGCAGCACUUAUUGUCUCGUUGAUUAACAGUACUUUUUGAAAAUUCCGGUUGCUCAUGAACUUUGAAAGGACUUGAGUGUCGUCUGACUGGAUCAAGACUUUCUGAGUACGUUGUUUAUCGAAGGUGGCGUUGGCCAAGGCAGUGGCAACAACAUCUGUUAUGACAAGACCCUUCUUGGAUGCUAGGUAGGCAGCAUUCUAGGAGGGAAAGUGUAGAUGUUAGAAUACAACAUUAAGAUGGAAAAUUCCUUGACAAGAAUUGCUUCGGUGGCAUUUUUCUGCUAAGAACAGUGUAAGAGAAAGGGAGAACGAGAAAAGAAGACAGACGAAAACACUACAAAAUAACGAGAAAGAUGGCCAACUCCUCGUCUAUAGCUUUGGCCACCAACUCUGAAAGUUCUUCACUACUCGGUGAUCCUUGAAAGUUGAAAUCCAAAAAACGAAGCCCAAGCAGCCAGUUCAUAAGCACUUCGAUUUGUUGCUCUUGGAGUAUAAGAGAAACACCAAAAAGGCACACACGUUUACCAAAGGGGCUAUCUAGCUACCAUGAGAGAUCCGCUUUUUCAUUCUGGCAAGCUGACCAUUGAUCUUCAAGCACCCAUAGGAGAUCCUCUUUUGCUCGGGUGGGAUUUAGUAACAUAGCAAGUUUUCUGCUUUCUGCUUACUGAAUGAAGGGAAACAUGUUCUCAUCGUUUUCAAUAACUUGUUUUUGCUAGAAGUGAGGAGGUGGCCAGAUGAGGGAGUUGGGCGCAGGUGGUGCCGGAGGGAAGAGAGAAUGGAAAUUUGAACAAUAAAACCCCUCUUUUCUUUUCAUUUCCAAAAAUUUUAGAACCUUUGAAACUUUUUCAGUGUUUUGGACACAAAAGUAGCUUUCAAACAUGUUCUUGUACACGACUUUCAGAUCUCUAGAAAACAAAAUCAGAAGACCGAACGAAAAAGUUUACCGAGGAGGAUCAAAGACUAGAUAAAAAUUGCUGAUAGAGAAUCAGAAACUAAAAGGAAAUAUGACGUGAUGAAAACUUACUUGUAUGGUGAUCAAAAUCCCAGUAACUGCCUUUGUCUGAGCAAGUUCUAAGAAUGCAGAUAGAGUCACAAAUUUGCCCUUAUUAGUGUUUGCAGGGUUUCUUCUCAAUCCACUUUCUGGAAAAGGGUUCCUCAGUUGAGCUGCAACGGAAGAAAUUCGAUGUGAGCAGGAUAACUCAAGGCCUAAAUUUGUUCAAUCCGUAAGGGGAAAGGAAAGUUGACAAUGCAGUUGUUUCUACUGAGAGAUCAGCCGACUCCAAACAGAAGGCAACUCCAUCUUUCGAUACCUGGACCGUACAAUCGAUAAUGUCUGCUCCAUCAGAAAUCGCUUGUUCAUAAGCAAGAUCGGUACACCCUGGGAAAAUCCCACUAGCACCAUUCCGAGAAAUGAUCAAAGGUCCUGAAAUGGAAAACAGAAUUAACGCGAGAGAGUAGUUUUUCCUUGCAGUUUUUUUAACGCUUGUCGAGUUUUCUGUCCACUCUGAUGUACAUGUAUCUAGCUCUAAAGAGCAUACUACUAGUUUCUCACAACAAUCUCUUUAUUUUCUAA